rnacentral:rRNA from 1 species
UUAAGUCAGGCAACAAGCGAGAUCCCCGCCUCUAGUUGCCACCAUUACUCUCAGGAGUAGUGGGGCGAAUUAGCGGGACCGCCGCAGUUAAUGCGGAGGAAGGAAGGGGCCACGGCAGGUCAGUAUGCCCCGAAACUCUGGGGUCACACGCGGGCUGCAAUGGUAGUGACAAUUGGUUCCGAAUCCGAAAGGAGGAGGUAAUCCCUAAACGCUACCACAGUUAUGACUGAGGGCUGCAACUCGCCCUCACGAAUAUGGAAUCCCUAGUAACUGCGUGUCAUUAUCGCGCGGUGAAUACGUCCCUGCUCCUUGCACA